UCGUGCUAGACGGGGAGGUAGCGGUGCCCUGUACCCGCAAUCCGCUAUAGCGGGGUCGAAUUCCCGAUUGAGGAAGUGUUGUCUCCGAGUGAUCGGUGGUGAGAAGUGGUGAUGAUGGUCAGGUCCCGCGCAAUGGGAACCUGUCAACCCCGUCAGGACCGGAAGGUAGCAGCGGUACACAGACCUUCCCAUGUGCCGCGGAUUCACCUGGCAGGAGCUAACCUCAUCGUUGGAGCCGGGGGCACCUUUCGAGAUCGGGUGCACGA
rnacentral:SRP_RNA from 1 species